GACGAACGCUGGCGGCGUGCUUAACACAUGCAAGUCGAACGAAGUGGCGAACGGGUGAGUAACGCGUAAUCAACCUGCCCUUCAGAGGGGGUCAACAGUGGGAAACGACUGCUAAUACCGCAUACUGAAGGAGGGGUGUGCGUCUGAUUAGCUAGGUGGAGGGGUGACGGCCCACCAAGGCGAGGAUCAGUAGCCGGUAUGGGAGGACGAGCAGCCACCUUGGGACGGAGACACGGCCCAGACUCGUACGGGAGGCAGCAGUGGGGAAUCUGCCGCAAUGGACGAAAGUCUGACGGAGCAACGCCGCGGGAGUGAUUACGGCCGUCGGGUGGUAAAGCUCUGUGAAUCGGUACGCGGUACCGGAAGAGAAAGCCACGGCUAACUACGUGCCAGCAGCCGCGGUAAUAC
rnacentral:rRNA from 1 species